UGGCGGCCAAGCAAUCGCGAACCUUCACGUUGCAAACGGCCCACAUUAGCCCCGCGGAAGAGAAAGACCCAGCGAGCCACGCCCCGGAAGUUCCUCUCUUGUUCUGGCCGCUCUAGCCGUAGGGAAGGAAAUGAAAAUAUUAAAGUACACAAAACAUGAUAAAACCAGCACUCAAUCAAGAAAGAGAACAUUCCCAGUUCCCAGAAGUCCAUCUCAAUUAUUACUCACUUCCUUUCCAAAGGGUAAGCACAUGACCAAGGCCAUUGCAGUGUGUCAGUGUGAAUUAGAAAAAAGCAUAGUUGUACACCAGCUAAAGGCUUGAUGCUUUUGGAUGCAAGCAACUGGGAACCUGACUAAUAGAAGUUUAAACAAAAUGGAAAUUUACUUAUAUCACAUAGAGAAGUUUGGAGUUCAGCAGUUCCAGUGCUCAUUCAGUGGCUUAAUGAUGACAUCAAGGAUUGGAACACUUAUAAUUCUUCUGCUUCACUAUCCAGAUGAUAACAGUGAGACCUCUCCUCAUGUCCACAAAAUGGCUGCCAUGGUACCAGAAAUCAUGUUGUCAUAUCAUAACAUCUAAGGUAGAAAGGACAGAAAUAAACAGAAAAGAGCUUUCUUUGAAUGUCUGCUCUCUCCUUUGCUCUUUCUUUCUCCAGAGCAUCCAGCAGGCUGCUCCAUAUGUGUCAAUGAACAGAAUUUCGUUCACAUGCCCACCUCUCUGCCAGCCCCUAAGGGGAACAGAACUUGGCACUGUGCCUUCUAAACCAAAGCAGGGUUCUGUUAGCAAGGAAAAAGGGGGAAUGUCUAGAGGCAAACCAGUAGUGUUUUACCUACCCCUCUCUUCCAAUAUGAAUGCCAAAAAUAGAAGUAUAUAGAAAAUGCUAUGAAAACAUAGAUAAAUGUGUCAUUCUACCUAGGAGAACCGGAGAUGGCUUUUUAAGGAAUGGUACAUUUAAGCUGAAUUUGAAAGGGCAACAGGUGUUUACAAGGCAAAGGACAAAUGUCUCAGAACAUCAGGCAUAACAGACCUUAAAGAAUAUUUAGUACAGACUCUGUUAAACACAUGCAUCUCUUUCACAGCAUUUUCAAGUCUGCCUCAUUCCCUUCUAUGACCUAUUCCCGCAUCCGAGUCAAGCUAACAGAGCUUGGAUCUCCUCACUUUGGCCGACAGUGAUUAUAUGUGGGAGAAGGUCCAAGAUAAUGUAACUGCAAGAACAAUGUUUCUGACAGCUGACCAAAUGCACUUUUGGUCAAAAUAAGACAAUGAAGGACAUAGUAGGCACACUGUAAAGGGGCUCAAAUAUUUGUUCCUUUCCUAGCUCCCUUUCUCUCUCCCCAUCUUUCCCCUUUAUCAACUAUCUUGCACUCUUAUUUUAGGGAAUGCCAAAAUUGUAAAGCUAGAACUUAUUUUGAUUCUUCUGAUAGCAACGAAAUAGAAACUGCAGGAUACUAUGUGAUAGAGACCAAAGAGCUCCACUUGUUCUUUGUUCAGUAUUAAAACUACAUUAGUCACCCUUCGCUGUGUAAUUAAUUAUCCAAAAACUUAGUGGUUUAAAACAACGACAAAAAUUUAUUCUCCCACAUAGUUUCUGUAAGUCAGGAAUUCAGGAAAAGCUUAGCUGGGUGGUUUUGGCUCAGGGUCUUUCAUGAGCUUCUAAUUAAGAUGUCAGCCUGGUCUCUGGUUAUAUGAAGGCUUGAAUGAGGCUAGCAGAUUUGUUUGCAAUAUGAUUCUCUUACAUGGCCUAGUGGCAGGAAGCUUUAGUUCUCUCCCUAUGACGUCUUUAUAGAGCUACUUGAUACAGAGGCAGGAUAAAGUAGCAGAGAAAACACAAAUGUUAGACAGUGUUUAGGACAACCAGGUUACUAUAUGAAGGGAAUUUGGUUUCUUAUUUUACAUCACAUAUAUAAAGGAAAAAUCUCAUGUAGAUUAAAGGCCAAAGUAUAAAAGACAAAAUUAUAGAACUAAUGAAAGAAAAUAUAAGAAUUUCUUUGAGAGAUUUGGGGUAGAAGAGUAUUUCUUAAACAAGACCACAAAAUAUAAGGUGAGAAAAAUAAUGGCUGCAAUUGCAUUUUAAAGAUUUCUGUUCAACAGAGGAUAUCAGAGACAAAUGAACAGAUGGAUAAAAGACAAGAUGAUAUUUGUAAUGUUUGAAUAUUUAUAACAAACAAGGUACUCCUGCAGCUCAAAAUGGAAAAAGCAGGAAAUAAUAAUGAAGUGGUAAGUGAUUUGAAUAUGCAUAUCACUGAUUGGAAAAGCUGAAAGACCAAUACGUUUAUGAAGAGAUGGCCAAUCUAAUGAUCAGAGAAGUCCAACUUACAAUAAUUGAAUACUUCUAUACGCCAAUAAGAUUGGAAAGAUUUAUUGAAUAAAACCAAGUGUUGGUAAGGAAAUGAGAAAAAGGAAAUCUUCAUGUACUGCUAUGAGGAGUUUGAAGUAGAACAGCUGCCUGGGGAGACCAAUCUCUUAGUGAAGCAGUGUAUGUUCAUAUGUAGGACUCAGCAAUCCCACUCCAAGGUAUAUCUUCAAAAAAACAGUGGUACAGGUUUAUGGAGGGCAUGUCCACGACAACACUGCUUAUGGAAGGAGCUCACUGGAAGCACCCUAGGAGCCCUUAAUUAAAGGAAUGGAGAAGGCAAAAGUGCUUGAUGCACAGAAUGCAGAAUUCAGGAGCUCAGAAUAAUAUGUAUAUGAGUAGAUAGAUCUUUUUAUAGACUUUUCUGCUUCUUAAGAGCAGAAAGCAGAUGAAUGGUUUCCAGGGAAAGGAGGAAUGCAGAGUAAUUACUAAUGGAUUCAAAAUGAUGAUGAAUUCUGGGAUGAUGAAAACAUUCUGGGAUCAGAUAGUGGCGAUUUUUGAACAAUUUUGUGAACACGCUAAAAAUCACUAAAUUGUACAUUAAAAAAACUUUAAAACAUGAAUGAACCCAUUCACUGUAGAAAAUACAAAUAACCAAAAAGAAUAUUUUAAAAAAAUAUGCUAAAUGGAAAAAAGAAACAAAUUAAGUCUAUAUCUAAGAUGAUAUGUAUAAUUAAAAAACAAUACAUGUGUACACUGAACACUGAAUAUAACUCAAUGAUACAUAUAUAACCAAGGACACAUUAAAUACAUUGAAGUAGGUUCUUGAGGGAUGAGGGUGAAGGAAAGCAGAAUUGGAGUGAGAAUGGAAAAUGAAUGAAGGAGCAUCAUAAAAUAAGCAAAAUAAAACGAAUGGGGCUGCAGUAGAUGGAAUAAUGGCGCUUGCAACAAUGUCUGUGCACUAAGUACAGAAACAUGUGACUGUGUUACCUUGCAUGGCAAAAAGACUUUGCAGAUAUGAUUAAGUUAAUGAUUUUAAAAUAGGGAAAUUAUCCUAGAUAAGCUGAGUGGGUACAAUGUAAUCAUAAGGGUAAUUAAAAGAUGGAAAGGGAGAUAAAUGAGCCAGAGAAGAUGAUGUAAUAAUGGAAGCAGGGGUCCUAAUGAUGCAAUUGUUGGUUUUAAAGAUGGAAGAGGUCCAUGAGCCAAGAAAUGUAGGCAGCCCUAAAGUGAAGAAAUCAAGGAGCAGAUUCUUCCCUAGAACCUCUAAAAGGAAAACAGCCUUAGUGACGUCUUGGUCUUAGUCCUAGGUGACCCAUUUGGACUUUGGGCCUCCAGAACCAUAAGAUAACAAAUUUAUGUUGUUUUAAGCCACUAAAUUUGUGGUAAUUCGCUACAACAAUAGGAAGCUUAUACAGGGACUUGCACAGAUCAAGAUAAUACUCUUGGAACUGUGGAGAAUGAUUAGCUGAAUUUUCUAUACUGAAUU